UACGUAGGGGGCAAGCGUUGUCCGGAAUCAUUGGGCGUAAAGAGCGUGUAGGCGCCAGAAAAGUCCGCUGUGAAAACUCGAGGCUCAACUUCGAGCUGCGGUGGAAACUUUCUGGCUAGAGUCCGGAAGAGGAGAAUGGAAUUCCUGGUGUAGCGGUGAAAUGCGCAGAUAUCAGGAAGAACACCCGUGGCGAAGGCGGUCUCUGGGACGGUACUGACGCUGGAGACGGCGAAAGCGUGGGGAGCGAACAGG
rnacentral:rRNA from 1 species